rnacentral:rRNA from 1 species
CCUACGGGAGGCAGCAGUGGGGGAUAUUGCACAAUGGGGGAAACCCUGAUGCAGCGACGCCGCGUGAGUGAAGAAGUAUUUCGGUAUGUAAAGCUGUAUCAGCAGGGAAGAAAAUGACAGUACCUGACCAAGAAGCACAGGCUAACUACAUGCCAGAAGCCGCGGUAAUACGUAAGGGGCAAGCGUAAUCCGGAUUUACUGGGUGUAAAGGGAGCGUAGUCGGUUAAGUAAGUCCGGAGUGAAAGUCCGGGGACCAACCCCGGGAGUGCUUUGGAAACUGUGUAACUGGAGUACAGGAGGGGCAGGCGGAAUGCCUGGUGUAGCGGUGAAAUGCGUAGAUAUCAGGAGGAACACCGGCUGCGAAGGCAGCUUACUGGACUGUAACUGACGUUGAGGCACGAAAGCGUGGGGAGCAAACAGGAUUAGAUACCCGUGUAGUC